GUAGAUGAAAUAUGAUGGUGGGAGAGAAGGGUGAAUGGAGAAGGGAACGCUGAGGCGAAUGGACGCAUGCCUGGUCUCCCGCGUGCGUCUGUUGUAGUCAAGGGAAGCUGGAGGACUCAAGAGGAGGGGGAACGGCCACGCGCCUCUUGGACGCUGCUGCCGUCUCCUGCUGCUACUCCCCGGAGGCGGCCAUCUCGUCCUCCUCCCCGAGCGCCAGCUCCUCCUCGUCGG
rnacentral:lncRNA from 1 species